UACGUAGGGGGCAAGCGUUGUCCGGAUUUAUUGGGCGUAAAGAGCGUGUAGGCGGCCAUACAGGUCAGCUGUGAAAACUCGAGGCUCAACCUCGAGACGUCGGUUGAAACCGUAUGGCUAGAGUCCGGAAGAGGAGAGUGGAAUUCCCGGUGUAGCGGUGAAAUGCGCAGAUAUCGGGAAGAACACCUAUGGCGAAGGCAGCUCUCUGGGACGGUACUGGCGCUGAGACGCGAAAGCGUGGGGAGCGAACAGG
rnacentral:rRNA from 1 species